CAGGUCUUGACAUCCUCUGACACUCCUAGAGAUAGGNNUUUCCCCUUNGGGGGACAGAGUGACAGGUGGUGCAUGGUUGUCGUCAGCUCGUGUCGUGAGAUGUUGGGUUAAGUCCCGCAACGAGCGCAACCCUUGAUCUUAGUUGCCAGCAUUUAGUUGGGCACUCUAAGGUGACUGCCGGUGACAAACCGGAGGAAGGUGGGGANGACGUCAAAUCAUCAUGCCCCUUAUGACNUGGGCUACACACGUGCUACAAUGGGUGGUACAAAGGGCAGCAAAACCGCGAGGUUAAGCCAAUCCCAUAAAACCANUCUCAGUUCGGAUUGCAGGCUGCAACUCGCCUGCAUGAAGCUGGAAUCGCUAGUAAUCGCGGAUCAGCAUGCCGCGGUGAAUACGUUCCC
rnacentral:rRNA from 1 species